GUGUCUAAAUGCUGUAGUAAUACACGAACAUUCAUACAACCUGCUUGUAUCAUGUAAUUCACUAUGUCCUAUCUGCUUUCCAAAAUUGGUAUUUGACCCAGUUUACACAAUAAUUUAUGUCUACCAUUGUUUUUAAGUGACAGGAUAUUAUCAACAGUAUAAUUUAUAUGAUGUUUAAAUCGUGUUUCGAUUGAGACGUUUGCCACGAAACCUAUUAUUAUGUUGAUUUUUAUCAACAAUAUUCGUGAUCUCGAAAGAAUAAG
rnacentral:lncRNA from 1 species